AUGGGACUGGGAGACAGGAAGGAAAGAUGUGUCACCUGUCACCUGAAGUCACAUCUGUGUAAGGAGGUAGAGUCAUCAAUCCAAACAGGAGGACAUCGGCGGAGAAGUCCUGAGGACUCGGAGGGCAGCGUGAGCAGGACCCUUAGGUCCUCUGGGCAGGCCAGAACCCAGUGGGGGGCUCAAGCAGCCCUGUAGGCUCACAGUUGCCAUCUUCGUAGGAUUUCCCGAAUGCCACCCAUCCCUCCGUAAUUACCUGGAAGCCAGAACCUUGUCUAUGUCAACAAAAGAGUGUGUGGGUUGAUUUAGAGACAAGCCAUACCUCUGUACCUCCCCGAGGAUAUUCUAGGAGCACUGGGCCCCCGCCUGAGGUCAAGGUGCGUGAGCACAGCCAGUGGGAGCCUGACUUCUGGGAGUGCUGCGUAGUGGAUGUGGGCCCGGACCUCGCCUCCAUCCCAGGCGCCUCUUUGCCCAGGCCUAUAUACACCCUGGGGAGCCCCACGCCAGCCUCCCACGCAUCUCACUGAGCUCGCGCCAGGGAUGAGGUCUGCGUCCCGGCCCGGCCUUGGCCCAAUUAGGAUGCUGCCUACACAGUCAGGCCUGAAUCAGAGGGUGAGCCUCAAAGCUGCCUGAGUCAGUGCCGCCUCAUAAGAAGAGAGGCGUUGGGUAACUGGUGGGAACAGACUCCCCAGGGCCCAGGAAAGGUAGGCAGGGACGAGCUGGUGGGAGCCACACCAGACCCAUCUGUCCUUCUGGCAGGGCCACAGCCUUGUCAGUGGCUUCUCAGGACCUCAAGGUCCUCCUCAGAAAAAUGAGAGGAAAAUCUCACAACAGGCCCUGAGCCAUGUGUAAGUGUUGUUGCAACCAAAGCGAAGAGUGACAAAAGUCCUCACCAAGCUGAGAGGGGACUGCAUGCAGGUGUCUGAUAGGAAGGACUGUCACCAGAGUCUUUGAUGACACACAGCCGCAGCCUCGCACAAACCAGCCCAAGUGCACAUGGAAAUAAUUCCACAAGGACAUUUGCCCAGUAACUUUCUGCCCAACGUUAUGCCGACACCAAUGCUGGUUAUUAUGUCAAAACAAUUUACCUAAUUCUUCAUGCCUUACAUAAGCUAUUUUGCCUUUUAAACGUUCCCUCUGCCCCUUUCGACUGUGAAUAAGCCCACACACGUUCCUCUUUCAGUGGUGACGCCCAACACAUCUCAUCAUUUUUCAGCCUGUGUGUUAUUCAAAGUUUGACAGCUACAGGGAGCAGAAACCACAGUUACCUUCCUGCCCCUGCAACCAGUACCUGGGACAAUUUCUAAUACAUCAAUUUGUGCCUGAUAAAUAGCCAUCAGUGAGUGGAAGAAGAUUACCUUACCAGGCGGGAGGACAUGCAGGUCCUUAGAGAUCAACCAUCCGCAUCUGUAACCCCAUGUCUGGCAUGGGGAGGGCUCUUCUGUGACCACCAUAACUGUGUCCGUGGCUCCACAGGCCAGUCCCAGGGGGACGAGUCACUUGCUUGCCAGCAGGAUAUCAUAAACCAUCUCUCCCCAGUCCCCUACUUGGAAACGGGAAUGAACAAGACUGCGAAGCUGGGAAAAUCCGAGGCCACCACGUGCAUUCAGUGUGUACUUCCAGGCCAGGGAGAUAGCUCAGCAGUUUAAGGACCUGCCUGGCAAGUGCAAGGUCCCAAGUUCG